CCGAGUUUACAACUCCCAACCCCUGUGAACAUACCUCAGUUGCUUCGGCGGCCGCGCCCCGGGCCUCGGCCCGGAACCAGGCGCCCGCCGGAGGCCCAGGAAACUCUGCUUUGCCCUGAAUCUCUGAAACGACAAACUAAAUCAGUUA
rnacentral:misc_RNA from 1 species